rnacentral:miRNA from 1 species
CGUGUGGGAAGGCGUGGGGU